CUCGUAGGGGAGGGGUCCCUCAGCCCAGAUUGUGAGAAGGCGCAGGCCAGGCCAAGGGACCCCACCGUUGCACA
rfam:Myotis davidii contig73079, whole genome shotgun sequence.